CCUACGGGGGGCAGCAGUGGGGAAUAUUGGACAAUGGGCGAAAGCCUGAUCCAGCCAUGCCGCGUGUGUGAAGAAGGUCUUCGGAUUGUAAAGCACUUUAAGUUGGGAGGAAGGGCAGUAAGCUAAUACCUUGCUGUUUUGACGUUACCGACAGAAUAAGCACCGGCUAACUCUGUGCCAGCAGCCGCGGUAAUACAGAGGGUGCAAGCGUUAAUCGGAAUUACUGGGCGUAAAGCGCGCGUAGGUGGUUAGUUAAGUUGGAUGUGAAAUCCCCGGGCUCAACCUGGGAACUGCAUUCAAAACUGACUGACUAGAGUAUGGUAGAGGGUGGUGGAAUUUCCUGUGUAGCGGUGAAAUGCGUAGAUAUAGGAAGGAACACCAGUGGCGAAGGCGACCACCUGGACUGAUACUGACACUGAGGUGCGAAAGCGUGGGGAGCAAACAGGAUUAGAUACCCGAGUAGUC
rnacentral:rRNA from 1 species